UACGUAGGGGGGCAAGCGUUGUCCGGAUUUACUGGGCGUAAAAGAGCGUGUAGGCGGCCACGCAGGUCCGUUGUGAAAACUGGAGGCUCAACCUCCAGCUGUCGACGGAAACCGUGUGGCUAGAGUCCGGAAGAGGAGAGUGGAAAUUCCUGGUGUAGCGGUGAAAUGCGCAGAUAUCAGGAAGAACACCAAUGGCGAAGGCAGCUCUCUGGGACGGUACUGACGCUGAGACGCGAAAAGCGUGGGGGAGCGAACAGG
rnacentral:rRNA from 1 species